UGCUUGUUGUUGGUGGGGUACGCUUGCUGGUAGAUCUGCUGACACUUGCCGACCUACACACGACACGAGCCACCGCGCCACUCCAGGGACUCGGAUGGCUAUAUUGUUCGCCCAUUUCCACGAGUAAAGCGAAUGUUGUGUCAGAAACCAUUUGUCUGCCGCAUGUGGUACAGAUUCGCACGUUGGAGGAUCUCUUGAAGACGCGGAGGAAGAGUAAAAGCUGUCAACCAUGUCCAUCGACGAAGCUUAUGAAAGCUAAAGCUGAAACAUGAUCUUUCAGGACGGAGGCAAGAUGAGGAAGGCAUACUUUCUACUGGCACAGAAAGACCAUCCGGACGGUAGGGUAAUUAAAUAUCUGGUUACGCUCUUGCCUACAGAGCCCUUUUACUUUGACUAAGAGAUACUUUUGUUUUUGUUUGGUUAACAGAGCCUUUUGACUUUGGCUAACAGAGUUCUUUUACUUUGGCUAUGAGCCCUUUCACUUUGACUUAAAUAGCACUUUUCCCCUGUCUACAAGAGCUUUCUUACUUUGACUAAAAUAUCCCUUUUUCGCUUUGACCAUAAGAGCACUUUUACUUUGACUAUAACAUCGCUUUCACUUUGGCUAUAAGAGCCUUUUUAUUUUAACUAUAACAGCCUAUUUACAUUGACUAAAGGAGUCCUCUUAUUUAAGCUAUAAAAGAUUUUUUACUUCCAUAAAAAGAGCCUUUUACCUGGACUAUGGGCCCUAAGGACCCUUUUACUUUAACUUUAGCUAUAAAAGCCUUUUUACUUUUGUACUAUACGAGCCUUUUUACUUGGGGUAUAAGGACUUUUUUACUUUUUGACUAUAACAUUUUUUUAUACUAUAAGAGCCCUUUUUCACUAUCAGAGCUUGUUUUCUUUUAUAUUUUAAGAGCCCAUUUACUUUGGCUAUAAGAGCUCUUUUAAUGUAAAAUAACAGUCUUUUAACUUUUGUACUAUAAGUUUUCUUUUACUUUGGCUACAAGAUCCCCUUCACUUUAAUAUAAGAGCAUUUAUACUUUGACUAUAAGAAUCUUACUUUACACGAAGAGGAUCAGCGGAAAAGAAGAAAAGAGAAACAAAAGGUAAAGCACCCAAGAAGGGAAGAGAAGGAAGAGGUAGAACAGAAAAGAGCCCUGUAAGAGCCCUUUUAGUUUUACUAUCAGAACGUUUUACUUUGCAAGAAGAGGCUGAGCGGACAGAAGAGAAGAGAAAGAAGAGGUAACGUAGACAAGUAGACAAAAGUAAAAAGAAGCGGAACAGAAAAGGAAGGAAUAGAAUGAAGAGGCUGAAC